CUUGCCCCUAGAACCUUGGAGGGGGUAAAUCGCGGGUUAUGCCUCAACUGGAUCACAGGUUCCCCCAUCGCCUGUACACUUCUGUGCACAAGAGAUCCUCCUCCAAAGUGAUUGCUCCAUGCCAAAUAAAUCUGGCCGUAGGUUCCCACCAAGAUUCGAACCUCCACCCUGCCGCUGGAAGCAAGACAAAUGUUGAUUGAUCCACCAGUUGAGCUGUGCCCCGGGAGGCCAAGAUCUUGUUAGCCUUUGUUAGCCUAGAAGCUGCUUCAAAGAUACAAUUGAAAUCAUUAGCAGAAGAACUAAAAGCCAUCAUCAAGGGAUUAGAGAAAGUAAAGCAGGAAUUGGCUGGUUCUGAGAAUGAUGGCCCUGUAUCUGAAACUUUUUGCGAGACUAGGAGCGUAUCAAAAUUUUGAAUAAUGUUAUUUAGCGCCAAUCACGUGGCAAUGAGGCCAUUUACCAUCCAAUUUUCUUCAAAUCGACUAAUGAUGUCCAAAAAGGAUCCUCUUUCCAUUGAAAUAGUUUUGAUCAAUAUUAUGAAUGAUACCCUACAUUAAAGGAGUUUGUUGGUGCCGCUGAGACUGAGGUUGCAUUGGUAACGUACUUAAUUUUUGUUGUGGUAAAUUUCAUCCCACCAUCUUCAGUAUAUUAUAUGCAACCCUAAUUUAUUUUCCAUGAGAACAUUUUUUUUUUUUUUU